UAACUGGUGUUAAGUCACACCCCAUGUUUCACCACGAAACAGCACCUUGCUUUGUUUUCAUCACCCUCUCCUCUAGCUUUUGACGGAGUCCUCCCCCUACGCUGCUGCGGAGACGCCUGAGACUAAGAAGCAGAGAAAAAAUGUUUGAUCGCCUGCUUUCUGCACUGCCCAGCAGGGCCAGUGGAGAGACCUGUCGGGCCAGUCAAUACUGAGUAAAGGCCCCAUUUAGCAGGAACACGCCUGGCAGACGGGGCCUCCUGAGCUGGUGGAGAUGGGAGGAGGGGAUGCUCGCCUCUGACAGAGAUGGAUGGUGUGAGGCUCCACAGCCUGCAAGGACAAAGGGACACCCAGCCUUACUGGCCUCUUUCAUCCGCCCGCCAAGAGCCGGCGCUUUCACUCACGGGAUCCGGAGCACAGCGGCUGAAUAAUUCAUCAUGGGAGUUCCAGCAGAGACGAGUGCAGAGCUGUUCCUGUCCCGCAAACCUCCACCAGGGUCUGAUGGGAAAUGAAGUGCGGUGCAACACCACUCACUCUCUGUCACCUCUCACCUCACAGAGCAGAGGGGACAUUUUUAUUGAGAAAAGAUGCUUUUUUUAACACUAGAUACCCUCAGCUAACACAGCACAGUGACAGCUCAUCGAACUGUUCAAGAGAGCUUUCAUCAAACACAACUCUGUAAUGAAGCUGCUCCUCCAAACUUCUAGAAGAUCCGGAUUAUCCGUCGAAUGAGUUCUACGCUAAGUAUUUCUUUCUUUUUUUCAUUUCAUACUUUUAACUACACACUCUAAACCCUGACUUUUGCUGUAAUCACAAUUUUGAGUAAUAAUUCGUUAUAUUUUUUAGUUUAGUAUCAUUACUUAAAUAAAUUUGCUGUCUUUGAUGGAAA